rnacentral:rRNA from 1 species
GAUGAACGCUGGCGGUAUGCUUAACACAUGCAAGUCGAACGGUCACUUCGGUGAUAGUGGCGGACGGGUGAGUAACGCGUGAGAAUCUGUCUUCAGGUCGGGGACAACAGUUAGAAAUGACUGCUAAUACCGGAUAUGCCUUAUGGUGAAAGAUUUAUUGCCUGAAAAAGAGCUCGCGUCAGAUUAGCUAGUAGGUGGUGUAAGAGACUACCUAGGCGACGAUCUGUAGCUGGUCUGAGAGGACGAUCAGCCACACUGGAACUGAGACACGGUCCAGACUCCUACGGGAGGCAGCAGUGGGGAAUUUUCCGCAAUGGGCGAAAGCCUGACGGAGCAAUACCGCGUGAGGGACGAAGGCUUUUGGGUCGUAAACCUCUUUUCUCAAGGAAGAUAAUGACGGUACUUGAGGAAUAAGCACCGGCUAACUCCGUGCCAGAAGCCGCGGUAAU